AAUGACGCAGGCCCGGGGCUCCCCGGCGCCCGUCACGCCGCCCUAUUGGUACGCCACUGAGUGAACGGUUGUUGUUUAUCGUUUAAAAAAAAGAAUCGACGGCUUGAACAAUAAAUAGCGACCGUUUUUUUUUCUGCAUUUUUCGUCCGUACCGCGGAAUAAACGCCCCGCGGAGAUCCGUCCGGAAGCCCGACGCGAAAU